rnacentral:rRNA from 1 species
AUGAACGCUAGCUACAGGCUUAACACAUGCAAGUCGAGGGGCAGCAUUUUAGUUUGCUUGCAAACUGAAGAUGGCGACCGGCGCACGGGUGAGUAACACGUAUCCAACCUGCCGAUAACUCCGGAAUAGCCUUUCGAAAGAAAGAUUAAUACCGGAUAGUAUACGAAUAUCGCAUGAUAUUUUUAUUAAAGAAUUUCGGUUAUCGAUGGGGAUGCGUUCCAUUAGUUUGUUGGCGGGGUAACGGCCCACCAAGACUACGAUGGAUAGGGGUUCUGAGAGGAAGGUCCCCCACAUUGGAACUGAGACACGGUCCAAACUCCUACGGGAGGCAGCAGUGAGGAAUAUUGGUCAAUGGGCGAGAGCCUGAACCAGCCAAGUAGCGUGAAGGAUGAAGGCUCUAUGGGUCGUAAACUUCUUUUAUAUGGGAAUAAAGUUUUCCACGUGUGGAAUUUUGUAUGUACCAUAUGAAUAAGGAUCGGCUAACUCCGUGCCAGCAGCCGCGGUAAUACGGAGGAUCCGAGCGUUAUCCGGAUUUAUUGGGUUUAAAGGGAGCGUAGGUGGAUUGUUAAGUCAGUUGUGAAAGUUUGCGGCUCAACCGUAAAAUUGCAGUUGAAACUGGCAGUCUUGAGUACAGUAGAGGUGGGCGGAAUUCGUGGUGUAGCGGUGAAAUGCUUAGAUAUCACGAAGAACUCCGAUUGCGAAGGCAGCUCACUAGACUGUCACUGACACUGAUGCUCGAAAGUGUGGGUAUCAAACAGGAUUAGAUACCCUGGUAGUCCACACAGUAAACGAUGAAUACUCGCUGUUUGCGAUAUACAGUAAGCGGCCAAGCGAAAGCAUUAAGUAUUCCACCUGGGGAGUACGCCGGCAACGGUGAAACUCAAAGGAAUUGACGGGGGCCCGCACAAGCGGAGGAACAUGUGGUUUAAUUCGAUGAUACGCGAGGAACCUUACCCGGGCUUAAAUUGCAACAGAAUAUAUUGGAAACAGUAUAGCCGUAAGGCUGUUGUGAAGGUGCUGCAUGGUUGUCGUCAGCUCGUGCCGUGAGGUGUCGGCUUAAGUGCCAUAACGAGCGCAACCCUUAUCUUUAGUUACUAACAGGUGAUGCUGAGGACUCUAGAGAGACUGCCGUCGUAAGAUGUGAGGAAGGUGGGGAUGACGUCAAAUCAGCACGGCCCUUACGUCCGGGGCUACACACGUGUUACAAUGGGGGGUACAGAAGGCGGCUACCUGGUGACAGGAUGCUAAUCCCAAAAACCUCUCUCAGUUCGGAUCGAAGUCUGCAACCCGACUUCGUGAAGCUGGAUUCGCUAGUAAUCGCGCAUCAGCCAUGGCGCGGUGAAUACGUUCCCGGGCCUUGUACACACCGCCCGUCAAGCCAUGGGAGCCGGGGGUACCUGAAGUGCGUAACCGCAAGGAGCGCCCUAGGGUAAAAAUGGUGACUGGGGCU